rnacentral:rRNA from 1 species
UGGGGAAUAUUGCACAAUGGGCGCAAGCCUGAUGCAGCCAUGCCGCGUGUAUGAAGAAGGCCUUCGGGUUGUAAAGUACUUUCAGCGAGGAGGAAGGCGUUGUGGUUAAUAACCGCAGCGAUUGACGUUACUCGCAGAAGAAGCACCGGCUAACUCCGUGCCAGCAGCCGCGGUAAUACGGAGGGUGCACGCGUUAAUCGGAAUUACUGGGCGUAAAGCGCACGCAGGCGGUCUGUCAAGUCGGAUGUGAAAUCCCCGGGCUCAACCUGGGAACUGCAUCCGAAACUGGCAGGCUAGAGUCUUGUAGAGGGGGGUAGAAUUCCAGGUGUAGCGGUGAAAUGCGUAGAGAUCUGGAGGAAUACCGGUGGCGAAGGCGGCCCCCUGGACAAAGACUGACGCUCAGGUGCGAAAGCGUGGGGAGCAAACA